UACAGUCCCUGUGGAGGUAAACAGCUGCCCACAGUUGGUUUACAGUCUUGGCUGGUCCCCUUCUAAAUGAUUCCAACCUUAGCCACGUGACUUGUUUGGCCAAAGGGACAAUAGCAAAUGUAACACAAGUAGAGGGUUGAAAAGUGUGUGCACAUUGAGUCCUGCCCUGUCUUGCUGCUGAAAACUGCUGCUGCCACGUGGACAAGGCUGGGUUGAUCACAUGAAGGAUGAGAGGUCCCGAUUAUCCCAGCCACCCACACCAUGCCUGCUGAGGCCUCAGAAGCCCAACGGAGGCCACAGAGACCAUCCAGCAGUACACAGCUGGCCUAGACCAGAAAAACCUCCCUUAAGGAACUUAAAGAACAGUCCUUAACCUGCAGGAGACAGAUGUGUGAGCCAACAGUGACAGAGAGCACAGCAGUUACUCUGUCAGAGGCUUGUCUGGGGCAAGUGUGCAGAGCAGCGGGGCGUGGAGGAGGCUUGCGAGGACAGGAAGGACUGACAGAAGCCACCACACAGGAGCUGAGACCUGCAGAAAGAGCAGACACUGGCACGUGUACCAGCAGCAGGAGGAUGCUCCCGAUGGUGGAGGACCCCAGAUGCAGUUCCCAGGGAACACUGGAAAAUGCAGUUUGUAGGGAAACAUCUUUCUCUCCAGCUCUUUUGAUGCCAAUAGCAACAAAGAGGCCACAUGACAUGCUCUGUGCUUCUUGGAGCAGAGCCCAGGGUCUAGUGGUUAACAGGGACAACUAAACUGUACUCUUCAGCCAUCGUAUCCAGGAUGCCACACACCAUGCCUGGAAAAAAGUCCUCACUCAUGCUUAUUCUUGCUGGUACUGUCAUCUCUCUUGAUCCCUUCUAUGACAGUUCAACACAAUUCACACUUUGUUAUUGUGUGAAAGAAAAAAAGAUUUUUUUCCUCAUGAAGAUCUUGAAGAGAGCUAUUUCUGAGUGAUCCACCUGACCUGUUGCAAAAAGGCAUGUGUUGAUAUGUUGAUAUGACUGUGCUUUUUUUCUUUUUCUUUUGAUUUGUUUAGUGGGGCAGCAGACAGGGAGGUGGGGCAGAGAUCCCUGUGAUCCUCAGAGGGACUGUGGAGGGCUGGGACUGCUGCCUUAGACCAAGUUUUCUUGUCAAUUGCAAUGUCUGGGUCAGAAGUUUUCUAUAGGUGAUGGCAGAGAUCCAGCACCUCAGCAGUGAGAAUUUGCCACGUGAAACAUCAACCAAAUUAUGCAACAAAACUUACAUGACAUGUGAACAGUCUAGGGGAUAAGGACGUCUUCCCAAACAAGACUGGAAAUUCAGAAGUUAAAACGGAAAAAAGUAGACAUUACUAACAUUUAAAAUAAAUACAAACUUUUUAUGGCGAAAUGCAACAUAAAGUCAUCAAGCAGGACAUUUGGGGGUAAAUGAUAAUGCAGAGGACAAAGAUGUUACAUUUACACAAAGAGUUUUUAUAAAUCAACAAGGAGAAAAGUAUGAAUAAUUACAGCAUUUGUGAACUUAUUAGCAACCUAGUAAAUAUUUUUAAAAAGAUUAUACCCUAUGACUUAACAUUCCAGGAUAUGUGUAUGAGGAUAUUUGCUAAGCUUUAUUCAGUAUGGCAAAGCAAAACCAAAGAAAACAAAAAACUUUGAAGCAUUUACUGAGCACAUUCUGCAUAGCAGAAACUGUGUUAAGCCCUCAUUCGACUGUUUGAACAGCACAAUUAGUCGGCCAUAAGACACAGCCCCUUAUUAGGAUGAGAAACCCAAGACUCAGAGAAGGCAAGCAAUUCAUUCAAGAUUAUACAAAGAAGCUACAUGGCUGUAAAUGCCAGGUGUGAAAAAAGAUGAAGCUUAAAAAAAAAAAAAAAAAAAAGAAUAACAUCAAGAAAUGUAAAAGAUAAAAUUAAAACUUAAAGCUAAGGCCAGGAAUGGUGGCCCACACCUGUCUUCCCAGCACAUUGGGAGGUUGAGGUAGACAGAUCAUUUGAGCCCAGGAGUUUGAGACCAGCCUGGGCAACAUGGUGAAACCCUGUCUCUACAAAAACUACAAAAAUUAGGGCCGGACGCUGUGGCUCACAUCUGUAAUCCCAGCACUUUGGGAGGCCGAAAGUUCAGAAGAUUGAGACCAUCCUGACUAACACGGUGAAACCCCGUCUGUACUAAAAAUACAAAAAAAUUAGCGAGGCGUGGUGGUGAGCACCUGUAGUACCAGCUAUUUGGGAGGCUGAGGCAGGAGAAUGGCGUGAACCCAGGAGGCAGAGUUUGCAGUGAGCCGAGAUCGUGCCAGCGCACUCCAGCCUGGGUGACAGAGCGAGACUCCGUCUCAAAUUUAAAAAAAAAAAAAUUAGCCAGGUGUGAUGGCUCACACCUAUGGUCUCAACUACUUGGGAGGCUGAGGUGGGAGGUUUACUUGAACCUGGGAGGCAGAGGUUACAGUGAACUGAGAUCAUAUCACUGUACUCCAACCUGGGCAACAGAGCAAGAUUGUCUCAACAACAACAACAACAACAACAAAAGUAGAAGGUAAAUACAAAGAUAAAAAGCAAAAAGCAAAGAACCAAGAAAGUAAAAAGGAAGAGAGAAAAUGAGAUUUAGAAAUUUCCAUUUUCCCUUUGACUUUGUGUCUUAAAAAAUAAAAAAUAGAUUUAGAAUUUUUUUUUAAAAAAGAAUAAAACAAGUAACAAAAGAGUAAAACAUAAAUCGACAGUGACAAUAUUUUUUAAAAGAGAAGAUAGAGAUAAACUAAGAGCUUAGAAAGCACGGGAAUAAGAAAUAAUAAAAGGCUUAGUAAAAAGUUGGCGUAAAAGGCGACCUACCCAUGGGCCGAGCCCCACCCGUUCACUGAGCCUGGGAAACGACAUUCAGCAGCAGGGGGAGGAGCAGCUGUUUCCUGUCACCCAGGUCUCAAGGGCCUGGGCUGGUUGUAGCUCCCUGACACUGAAGCAAGGCCUGUACUAGAACCUAACCCCAGUGUCUCUCCAACUAACCCGCAUGCUGCCCUGGCCCCUGGUAUUCUCACCUCCUCCCAUGGGACCCUCGGACAGCCGCGCCUCAUGCAUCGUGACCACUUUGCCCAGUUCCUAAGAAGCUCUUCUUCUUGUGAGCAGAGCCUGCCCUUGGCUGGGCCCUGCAUCAAACUCUGUGGAGCUCCCUGAACUGCAACUCUGCCCCUAUGGCCUGAUAAGGACCACUGCUACUGAGAAGCUCCAGGGGCUGCUCCCUCUCAUCACCCACUUAGUGUGCACCCAUGGACCAUUGGCCCACAUUGGACACCAGACCCUUAGGAUUUGGAUUUGAAUUAUCUGCUCUUUCCUGAAAUUAAGAGGCAAUAUUGGGGCAGAGGAGAAGGAAGGAUGUCAGACAAUAUUUCAUUUAUUAUUAUUAUUUUUAGAAGGAGUCUCGCUCUGUCACCCAAGCUGGAGUACAGAGGCGUGAUCUCGGCUCACUGCAACCUCUGCCUCCUAGGUUCAAGGGAUUCUCCUGCUUCAGCCUCCCGAGUAACUGAGAUUAUGGGCACCUGCCACCACACCUGGCUAAUUUUAUUUAUUUAUUUAUUUUUCUUAGUAGAGGCAGGUUUUCACCAUGUUGGCCAGGCUGGUCUCAAACUCCUGACCUCAAAUGAUCCACCCGCCUCAGCCUCCCAAAGUGUUGGGAUUACAGGCGUGAGCCACUGUGCCUGGCCCAGAUGAUAUUUCAAAUCAGAUAAUAGGACAAGGAGUAGAUAACCUAGACAAUUCUCCAGAGGAGCUUCUGGCAAUGUUUCUGAAAUCAGGGGACCAGCGGCAACAAUGGGGUUUGAUAUUGAAAGAAAGCCUUCUAAGCAGAAACAUUAGUUCUUGUCAAGGGCCAGAGUAGGUCUCAGCAUGCUGGGCUUAGCAAAGAGGAAAGUAGGCUGGGAAGCUGGCCUGCAGAGUGAGUAGGGGGAAAUCUAGGCAGCCCCUGAGAGGGAAGAGGAGACAAAUUUAGGUUAGACAAUACCAAAGAGCAUCAGGUUACUGAGCCGCUGUCUUUCUGGGGACAAAAAGGUCUCAUGUAAAAGAACGAGCUCACACCCGGAUGGGACGUUUUGCAAUUUGAUGGAGAGGAUGUCGAGUACGAUGAAAGGCCUUCAGCACCAGCGAUCAGAACUUGAGAAUGACCUACUUCUUCCACUUACAGCUAAUUAUGGGACUGUGCUGGCUGAAACACAUGUAAGUCACUGUCAGAAACACCAUUCAGUUAAAACUCGUCAUGAGCAGAGGAGCUGUGUUAAAAGAUUCCUUUUCAUUUCCUAUGAAUCCCAGUGUAUUCUAGAUUUUACAUACUAGACAUACCCAUGUGUAUUCUACAGUGACAUUAACAUGCACCAGAUAUAAGAUAUAAGCAGAGUUUUUGCUAGUAAGGAAUUUAGGGCUCAUUCUUAUUUAACAACACCAUCUUAUAAGUAAGAAACCAGGGUUCUAGCAAGUUAACUGGUGUCCCCAAAAUCACUGAGUUAUGAGUGAACAGAUCAGCUACUGGAACGGCUGUCUUCUGACCCUUAGGCCAGAGGUCUUUCCAUUAUACUCUUCAGCAAGGUUUUCUAUGUCCUUUAUAAGCUGUCUCAUCAAAAUUACACCCAGCAAAAGUGUAGGACGUCCCCACUUAAACCUGCAACACAAGUCGGAGCAUCCUUUCAUUAGCAGACCUGAGGGCCAGGAGGUGGAGAAGAACUGCUUAGGCCACUAAUGGGUUCUCCGAAUGUAUGCCUUGACACACCCCAAGCCCUUCUUUGCAUUGUGACAUAGGACACAGUAGAAGCCUGCUAACAGUGACAACCCCUUCUGAAGGAAUAAUAGAUCUGUGCAAAAAGUCUUUGGCUCAGGACAUUGGGUGGCUUUGUGCAGCUGUCCUGGAUUUCUGGAAGCUCGACUUGCUGUGACUCCAGGAGGUGAGAGCCCAUGUCCAUUCUUCCAUCCUUGCAGACACAGGGUGCCUGUGGGCAACCUCG
rnacentral:lncRNA from 1 species